UGGUCGCGAUAAGCUCUAUAGAAAUCUGUCUUACUUGACUCAGUUGUUGGUAUGGCCAAGCAGGGGCGUUCGGUGUUAAGCUUUAGCUUGUUUUCCUUGGAUCCUGUUCUUAUUUUUACUCCAUUUAAUCAGAAUAUCCUUCUCCCAUGUACAUUUCUGGUUUUGAUGGCGCCGUUUCGGCUUCUGCGUUUGUGUGAUUGGCAGGGCAAGGAUGUGGAGGCGCGGAAAAGGAGGGACACAUAAACAGUUUCUGGAAAAUUUACUUUCAAAGUGCUAAUGCUUGACCCUCAUUGUAAAAUUCUUAGUGACAGCAUCAUAUAGCGAUGUGUUGUCAAGUAUGGAUUUUGAGCUAUAGUUUACAGGAAGUGGUGCUUUGUAGUGCCAGGUAACUAAUUUCCCAUGAACAUUUAGUUUUUGCUGAUCUAAACCAUGCGAAAAAAAGUUCAUAUAAAACUAUAAAAGAAGCCUCAUGUUCAUCCCUAUGCAGUAUCUUAAGUUUCAAGAAAAUCUGAAAAUAAAUACACAAGUAGUAUCAAUGAUAGAAUAUGGGUCGUUACGCGCUUGCUGACCUCAUGUUGAAUGGUAUACCAUCGAUAGCUCAACAACUUUGCAUUGGG
rnacentral:lncRNA from 1 species